CGGCGACGCUACCUGUAGAUCUCGCUCUGUCCUCCGCUUCGCUUCAAGCAUUUCAUCUCCUCGAACGACAGGAGAUCCAAAGCACCAGAAGCAUGAGAGAAACCCUAUCAAGUAUUGGAAACACCUUUCUACAAACACCACCAGGAUAAGUUCUUUAAAGAUCGGCACUAUUUGGAGAAGGAUUGGGACACCACUUCUUGCCAUCCGGCGAGAAGGGCCAGGCUUCUGCUCAUCCCAAGGUCGUGUUGGAGUAAGUAUAUGGAAUUUUAGAUUCUUG